UGGCUGUUCAUUACAAAUUUGUUGGAAGAAUGCUACUAUUACACCUCAAUUCCAGUGUUACCAAUCAGUAAUCGAUAUUUCAUGAGAUAAUUUGAUUAGAAAAAAAUCUUUGGAACAGUUACCUGACUACUAUUAUGGCAGGAAGAUUCAUGAAUGUGAUUGGCCUGUUGUACCUGGUCCUUUUUACACGCAUAGGGAGUUAUAUCGGAAUAGCAUUUGCAACCCUGGCACUAUCGUUCCUCCUAGUUAUUCUGAUAGUUUGCACGUGGAUUGGAUGCGAAAAGAUAUGUGAAAAGCUUUCAAGACUUCGUAGAAACAGUGCGUAUACUCCUGCAACUAAAUCAACCAUCGUGAGCGAAUAUGUCCAAACAAAGGAAACAGGAGAGUGAAGGUGUUCUCAGAAGAGCAGAGGACAAGAUCACAGAGCAUUCAACAUUAGGGUCUCUGCUAACCUGUGUCUCGUCGAACGCUUUUCCACCUAAUGCAAAGAUCUUUUUUGUUUUUAUUUACGUUUGGAUUUCAUAUUUUAGUAGUUGAUAAAAAAUGUGAAAUACCACAGGAUGCUUAUAAUGGCUGAACUGAAAAGUAAUGACACUGACGUUACCGGGAUUUUAAAAAAGUAAUAGAAGCAUUCAACGCGGAUUUGUGUUAGUAAUUUGCGACGAGUUAUUUAAAGAUACUACUUCAUUCUAUACUGGGAGUGUUUUACAACCUACUGCAAAACUUUAAUUUUGAUCACAAUGCUAAUGAAGAAAAUUACCCCUGUAUGAGUCUACAUCUUUGUGAACUUAAUUUUGUGUUA